UUGGGAAAGUUUCAUUGUAAAAGAAUCAUAUUUAUGUUUAUUUACAACAUCCGAAACCAUUAGAUUCUCAUUCUUGAUUAACUCCCGAUGAAUGAACAUCGAUCAACUUUCCUAUUUAAAGGCAAAUCUGAAUCAUUCGUUAUGCCAUGUAUUGGCAGCUUCUCUUCAGUUUAAAGUUUAUUUCUUUGUUUUGUUUCAUUCAAUAAUUGUUGAACAUCAUCUAAUUGAACAUCAUGGACCGUGGAAAUCGUACCAAUCAAUGUAAUCCAUCUCAUAUCCCAAGUGGCCUAGGUCACAAUACGGGUUACGCUGGGACUGGAACCAAGAGUGAUCUUGGAAACCAUGCAAACCAGGGUAAUCCUAACAAUCAGGCCUAUCACAGCAGCCGAGGUGGAAACAAGAAGUGAACAUGAACAGCUUAUUCCAAGAUUGGAUAAUUUGUUUCUAAUUCAUUUCCUUUAAAGUUUGACAUCUAUUGAAUCUUAUUAAAUAAAAGAGAUUUUUAAACUUGAA